rnacentral:tRNA from 2 species
GCGGGUGUAGCUCAAUGGCUAGAGCAUCAGCCUUCCAAGCUGAAUGUUGAGGGUUCGAGUCCCUUCACCCGCU